GUUGGGCUCCGGUUUUGUCGCUCUUUUCGGCCCGAGACCAUGGGAUUCACCCUCUAACCCUAAUUUCUCUAUCGGCAACCUUGCAGUUCAUCUCUCCCUUUCCUGCGACAGCCACUCCUAACGCCUGAGUUUCCUCUCCCUGUAUGAAACGGACGGAGUUGUGACUUCGCCUUUAUUCCAAUUAAUUUUCAUGUGUCGUUCGUCUCUCUGAGGCAGUGUUAGAUCGGUAUAAAUAAGUGGUUAUUUCUCAUAUCGAACUCAUCCUCUGUUUCUAUCUCUUGCAAUAUACUGAUUCGUGUUGUUAUGGCUAAUUUCGAGAGUUUGCUUCUCCAACUUGAAGUCCGGCGGUUGCUCUUCUGUCGUGGAGGCUAGGCUGCUGUGGUUCUGGGAGGCAAGAAAUGUCAUACAUGGUGUUGGGCUCAUGUGGGUUGAAAUGAUCUAUGUAAAUGCUCCAUUGGUUAGUUCCAACCACAAAUGCUUCUACAAGUCUCACUGAUUGGGUUUCUGAUAAACGGUUUCAAGUCGGAGACACCAGUUUUCUCUGUGGUUAAAAGGAUUAAGUACAAGAAAGAUUCGAUUACGUAAGAUAAAACUCCUGGGAAGAGAGAUUCAGUGAACACAAAACAAAGAAAUGCUGCUGGGUUGGAUUGAAGACGUGUUCCAGAAAUGUACACCAAACUGGGAUCGGAAAUCUUUGAUUAAAGUGCUCGACUUUGUUAGUAGGAUAUUACGUGGAAGCGAAGAUCCACGAGACGUUUUCUUUACCAUGUCACUGAAGCUUGAUAUUGAGAGCUAGAAGAAAGCAGAGAGGAAGAACUAGAGAGAAUUGUGAGGCUGAAGCAAGCAAAGACAGACAUUCUCCACCUAAAAGCUAACAAAGAAAAGUGGAGGCUGAUUGGUGGAUUAUUUGUAAGGACGUGGACAAUAUUCAAACGCUAGAUGCAAAGCUGUUUUGAUUACUUGAUUUGCUAACACCACCGUCAGUUUAUUCUUACCUUCAUCACCUUAUCUCUUAAGAGUUGCACAGAUUUUUUUAUUUCUUUCACUAGAGAAACAGAUGCUUAUCAUUAAUUUGUUCCUACUAUUGACCACUCUAUUCUGUUUUCAUUGUUUAAGGUAUGUGCAUGUUGCAGAGUUUAAACACCUCCUCCGUGUUAAGCUAACACCAAAGAAUGAAUACUUAUGUUUACCUGUUCUAAGCCAUGACAGAACUCUCAAGCUUCCAAAAGAAUAUGAUACUACAACCGUUUGGUGUUUGUGCACCAGUAUUGGAAGGAUCCUCGGUCAGUCUUAUAUGCUUGCUCCAACGGGAUUGUGCAUCGGUGGCACAAAUUACAUGGUAAUCCAGUGAGAGCCAUAUUUUGUCAUUCGAGGGAAGAAGGUAACAUAACUGAUUAUGAUGAAUCUAUUACCUUGUUUUGGUAAAAAUCUUUUGCCUUUUUGUUCCAAGGCAGUUGUUUUUAGUGAAUUAGUUAUACUUUUUGCUUUACAUUGUUGGGAUCUGGUGGUGUUUAACUCAAGAAGACCACCCAACCUUUUGGUCUUUUCUGUGAAAAACCAAUGACUCCUGGACAAUGCAAUAUGGUUGUACAGAGGCUUGGUGACUACCUGAUUGAAUCAGGAAUCUGAAACUCAAGCUGCUGCUAUGUUCAUGUCACCAAUAUUGUCUUCAUAUUGAGAGGAAAACUAUUUAUAUUAUGAAAUGGGUUCGAUCAUUUUAAUAUUCCAACUGUGUCUUACUUUCUAUCAUACGAUGGAUCUCGGGAUUGUAUGAUUCUAAAGCAGUCUGGUAUUGUCUUCAUUUGUGUCAGUAGGAAAUUGUAAUUCAUGGCAGUGUCGUACCACAGCUUUUUAUAGAGUUUAUGAUUAGUUCUUGAGAUUAA